UCAAACUGGAGAUGGCGACCGGCGCACGGGUGAGUAACACGUAUCCAACCUGCCGAUAACUCGGGGAUAGCCUUUCGAAAGAAAGAUUAAUACCCGAUGGCAUAAUAGAACCGCAUGGUUUGAUUAUUAAAGAAUUUCGGUUAUCGAUGGGGAUGCGUUCCAUUAGGCAGUUGGUGGGGUAAUGGCCCACCAAACCUUCGAUGGACAGGGGUUCUGAGAGGAAGGUCCCCCACAUUGGAACUGAGACACGGUCCAAACUCCUACGGGAGGCAGCAUG
rnacentral:rRNA from 1 species